ensembl:lncRNA
CCGAGGGCUCCCUCUCUCUUGGGCCUGCAGCCCAAGCUCCCCGACCGCUCGCUGCUCCCCCCCCGCUACUCCCCGCCGUGAGGCCUGUGGUCUAGCCCGCUGGGGUUGACUGAACUUUCCCACUGUGCCUGCGCUGUGCUAGGAGCUUGAAGAGGAAGCCCAUUGGGAGGGAGAUGAGGCACUGCUGUUUCUUUCUGCCUGUUGUUAUUUAGCUCUGGGGUGUGUGUUUGCGCUCGCGACGGUCAUUGUCAAACAGUGGCUCUUGGAAAAUGUCCGGCUUCCGCAAGGAAAAGCAAAGCCCAUUACAAAUGGAAUAGUCAAACAAAAACAAAUUCCUACAUUAGCCACCUCCAAAAGAAUAAGCCUCAAUCUUCAUUCUUCAUCCAUCAGACAUCAGAAAGCUGUCCACACAGUGAUCAACUUUUUUGACUACGAAAAUUCUUGAAAAUGGUUUAGCAAGUGUUGGGGGAAUUACUAUCUGCAUUAAUCGGUAAGGAGAAUAGCUGUACUAAUGAAACCAUGACUCCUGGAAGUAUAUCACAGUUUAGUGAAUUUUAGGGUUAGUUCAUUGAGUGUUGGCCUCAGAGAGUUGAAAGACUGGAAUUCUAAGACCAGUUCUGCCAAUGACAAGCUGUUUGACCUUAGACUAAUCACUUAUUCAUUCUAUUCACCAAAUAUUUACUGAGCACUUACUGUGAGCAAUGCAAUGCAUACUAAGUGUUUAGAGAAAUACAGAUGUAAUAUGGGCAGAAGUUGUCUUUGCUCUUUAAUGGACCCUCAAUUUGCCCCCAAUUCUGAAAUUAGUAGAGCUGCUGUUCACUAGAGAAAGCUCUGAGGUAUCCUUUUACAGGAUUGCAUUAGGUGGGCAUUGACGUGGAAGAAAGGCAGAGUAUCUACCUGCAGCAAAAAUUAGCUAGCAGAGAGCCAGACAUGGAAGAGGACAGUAGCUAAGUAUAAAGAGAAUAGAUAAAAGCCAGCAGCAGAGAGAAGCAGGGAAGAUGGGAGAAGGGUGUCCAGUAUGGCCAGGACAUAGAGUGAUUAUUUUAGAAUUACAGCAAGAAUCUUUAGCAACCAUCAGUAUGCCAGGAGGUAUCAGUGAUCUGUAGCCUGCCCCUUUGGAAUUGGAGCAAAAGAAAUUCAAGAGACAAACCCUAUGCUUCACCAUUGGCAAGGAGUCUGAACUGUGUCUUCCCCGCUGUGGUGGGACAAUAGAAUGCUUAUUACCUGAUUAAAUUCCUUGCCAUGGAUCUGUUUUCAUUAAUUUUUUUCUUUAGAAUUCAUGUCAAGUGUGCGUUCUGGAACAGGACUUUUGCCUUUACAGUCUGAUGCUUAUGUCAGUGUUUCAGUAUAUUCAUGAAAUUCUUCCUCUCAGUCUGCAGUAAUACAGAUGCUGUCUGCAGAAGGCAUUUUAGCUGUUCUGAUUUUUAAUUAGGAAAGCUUCCAUGCCUAAACACUUUCUAACAGUUCUCAGGAUGGUAGCUGAGAGAAACUAUUUUGUCACUGAAAGAGUUGAGGGGGAUAUAGAAUAAUGUAAACAAUAAAUAAUAUCAUAAUAAAAAAGAUAUUUUUAAA